GACGAACGCUGGCGGCGUGCUUAAUACAUGCAAGUCGAACGCAGUUGGAACGGGUGAGUAUCGCGUAGGUAACCUCCCCAUAGCGGGGAUAACUAUUGGAAACGAUACCUCAACCGACAUUGUGAGCUGGACCUGCGUUGUAUUAGUUAGUGGGUGUGGCAAAGGCUCACCAAGGCGACGAUACAUAGCCGACCUGAGAGGGUGAUCGGCCACACUGGAACUGGGACACGGCCCAGACUCCUACGGGAGGCAGCAGUGGGGAAUCUUCGGCAAGGGACGGAAGUCUGACCGAGCAACGCCGCGUGAGUGAAGAAGGUUUUCGGAUCGUAAGACUCUGUUGUUAGAGAAGCGGUAUCUAACCAGAAAGCCACGGCUAACUACGUGCCAGCAGCCGCGGUAAUUC
rnacentral:rRNA from 1 species